AGGACGAACGCUGGCGGCGUGCCUAACACAUGCAAGCCGAGCGAGGAGAUCCCUUCGGGGAUGAACCUAGCGGCGGACGGGUGAGUAACACGUGGGCAACCUGCCUUAUAGAGGGGAAUAGCCUUCCGAAAGGAAGAUUAAUACCGCAUAACAUUACAUUUUCGCAUGAAGAAGUAAUUAAAGGAGUAAUCCGCUAUAAGAUGGGCCCGCGGCGCAUUAGCUAGUUGGUGAGGUAACGGCUCACCAAGGCGACGAUGCGUAGCCGACCUGAGAGGGUGAUCGGCCACAUUGGGACUGAGACACGGCCCAGACUCCUACGGGAGGCAGCAGUGGGGAAUAUUGCACAAUGGGGGAAACCCUGAUGCAAGCAACGCCGCGUGAGUGAUGAAGGUCUUCGGAUCGUAAAGCUCUGUCUUCAGGGACGAUAAUGACGGUACCUGAGGAGGAAGCCACGGCUAACUACGUGCCAGCAGCCGC
rnacentral:rRNA from 1 species